AUCAACUUUCGAUGGUAGGAUAGAGGCCUACCAUGGUGGUAACGGGUAACGGGGUGUUAGGGCACGACACCGGAGAGGGAGCCUGAGAAACGGCUACCACAUCCAAGGAUGGCAGCAGGCGCGCAAAUUACCCAAUCCCGACACGGGGAGGUAGUGACAAUAAAUAACAAUACGGGGUUCUUUUGGAUCUCGUAAUUGGAAUGAGUACAAUUUAAAUCUCUUAACGAGGAACAAUUGGAGGGCAAGUCUGGUGCCAGCAGCCGCGGUAAUUCCAGCUCCAAUAGCGUAUAUUAAAGUUGUUGCAGUUAAAAAGCUCGUAGUUGAAUUUCGGGAUUAGUAAGUUGGUCGUGCCUCUGGUAUGUACUGGCUUUACUGGUUCCUCCUUCUURAAGAACUGUAAUGUCAUUAAUUUGGUGUUGCAGGGAAACAGGACUGUUACUUUGAAAAAAUUAGAGUGUUUAAAGCAGGCUAACGCUUGAAUACAUUAGCAUGGAAUAAUGAAAUAGGACGUUUGAUCCUAUUUUGUUGGUUUCUAGGAUUGACGUAAUGAUUAAUAGGGAUAGUUGGGGGCAUUAGUAUUCAAUUGUCAGAGGUGAAAUUCUUGGAUUUAUUGAAGACUAACUACUGCGAAAGCAUUUGCCAAGGAUGUUUUCAUUAAUCAAGAACGAAAGUUAGGGGAUCGAAGACGAUCAGAUACCGUCGUAGUCUUAACCAUAAACUAUGCCGACUAGGGAU
rnacentral:sRNA from 1 species